AAUAAAAAUUUAUUAAGUAAAAUUCUUAUUUCUAAAAUUAAAUAAUAUGUUUAAAAUAUGUUUUUUAAGUAAAAUUUAUAUUGGGUUCAUAUAAUUUGGUGAUAUUAAUAAACAACAUACAUUAUUAUAAUUAAAUAUGUUUUUAUAUAUUUUAAAUGCAAAUGCUCUACUAAAAACUUAAUAUGAAAGCAUCGGUUGCUCAAAAGAAAAAUGAAAGUAUUGGAUAAAAAGUAUUUAGAGAGUAUUUGUAUUUCCUAAAUAUUUAGAUGAUUUCGUAGUAUUUACUGAUUGAAUAAUAAGGAUCAUAACGCCAAUGGUAGUGAUAUACCAAUCAAGCCCUAUGGUAUUUGGUUGGACUUGGUUAUUUCUAGACCAAUCGAGGAAACGUGUAUAUCUCUUUGAAAAAUAUAAAAUAAAAUAAAAAAUUGAUAGCAACAGUACAAAAAAAGGUCUCAUUUGUCACACGAGGAAGAAAUACAAGAGAGAGCGCGGGAAAAAAAGGAGACGGUUGCUAAUUUUGUUGCGAGCUCUAGAAAUGCAGACGAUAGGGAUUCCAGCGACGAAGAGCUUGGAUCAGAUUCGAUCGAUGGCUGGAUCAGAUUUGAAGGAUCCCUCCUUCUGCUCGCGUCAAUCUCAGGAUUCCGUCUCUUAGGGCAAUUUCUCAAAUCUGAAGUUCACUGCAGAGACAUUGGAGAAGGAACAGGCGUCUAUGAAAUCCGAUCUCGAAUUGGCGGUACUUCGAUUGCUUUUCCCGUUUUCAUCCCUACGAACUUAAGUUUGAUCCAUGUGCUUAAGAGGUAUGUAUGGUGUUGUUGAUAGCCUAGGAUUGUGCUUCUUCGAUCCGGAUCUCUGCUUAGUAUUCCGAUUCCUUAUCACGUUCUCUUCUUGCUUUCCGCGUUUAUAUAAACUCAAGUUUGAUCCAUGAGCUUAAGAGGUGUGUUUAGUGUUGUUGCUAGCUUAGGAUUGUGCUUCUUUGAGUCGGAUCUAUACUAGCUUAAAUUUGAUCCAUGUGCUUAAGCGGUGUGUAUGGUGUUGUAUCUAGCCUAGGAUUAUGCUUCUUCUGAGUCAGAUCUAUACAAGCUCAAGUUUUAUCCAUGUGGUUAAGAGGUCUGUAUGAUGUGUUGCUAGGAUUGUGUUUCUUCUUGCAGUUCUAUCGGAUCUCUGUUUAGUUUUGUGCAGUCUUUGCUUGUUUUAGAGUUAUUGUUAACUUGUUUGUAUUUGAUCAUCUGUUUCCAGAUGCAGAACUACUCUAAGCUGAAAAAAUCAGUGGAUUAUAUACUUGCUUUAGAGGAAAAACUGCAGAAUGCUUCCAAUGAGAAUGCUAAGCUCAGGCUGAUGCAAAAGGAGGACGAAAAGCUUUCGAGAAGGAUGGAGUCCAAAUUUUCUCCAACCCAGACUCUGGCUGAUCAACUUACAGAGAAUCUCCAGCACUUGACUUCUCAGGUUCAAGAAGAAAACAGCUUUGGUGUUGCUCAGCUUCUGCCUUACCAGAUUUUGAGCAAAGAUGGCAAGCCAUACAUCAUGAAUUGCGAGACCAAGGUCUUCUCUCCUGAGGAGAUCACUGACAUGGUUCUGACCAAGGUGAAAGAGGGUAGGCGUGUAUGUAUGCCACCACUACCAGUACCCGUAUGUGAAGAUUCCUCCAGUGAUGACACCUAUGUGGCAAGUCUCUAAAUUUUGUUUUUCUAAAACCUUUGAUGUUGUCUAUUGUUUGUUUGAGAUUUUAGAGAAACUGAAACGUGAUUUUGUAGGAUGAGGAAUCUUGGUUGAAUAAGAAUGAUGCUGCUAAAGACACAGACGAUGAAGACUACGAACACUACGAAGACUACGAGGACUACGAAGCACCUGACGAGGAUAUUGAUAAGGCCUUAUACGAGGGAGGCGAUGCUGCUGGUAUUAUGAUGGAUUGUCCAGACAUUGCUCCCCUUCUAGAAAAGCUUCCCGCCGGUUUUGAGUAUCCUUUCUUGACGAAUGCAAUAGCAAGCGACCUUCUCGAUGAAACUAGGUUAAAAAUGGUGAUGGAAGCUCUACCAUCAACAAGUCGGUUAAUGCUCUUUCGCUGUCUAAACAGCAUGUACAUCUACUGGAAAAAGAAGUCUGUUCAUCUUAAGCAGUAUCUAACAUCAAGGUCACGUAGAAAAAGAGUACUUGUCGCGGCUGGUGAAGUUCGAAAUCAAUUAGACCAUCUUCUUUGUUGGGCAUAUUCAUCAAGCGACUUGGUAAGUGCUUCUCUUGUUCUACAUGGCCUGGAAAAGGAAUACUUCCCUCUGUGCCCCAUGUACCUGUGCGAGAAUGUAGAUCCAAGCCAACUUGAAUCCCAUGUAAUUGAAGAGGAAGAACACCGCUGCUAUGGCAGUAAUAUGCACUCGGCACUACUGUACAUAAAGAAGUAUGGGAUACCAAAGGAAGCGAGUAAGGAAUUCAACUGUAUGUUGGCAAGGGGAGUUGGUGCAGAUGAAAAGAGGUAUUACAUAAGUGAAGUUCUUAGGUUUCCUACUCUAGAGGCAGCUCUGAUGCGUCUUAAAACACAUCCUGUUGGUGCCACACUAGCUAUGUUCACUGGCUGCACUGAUGAAGGAAUUUACCGUGGGCCAAUGAAGGAGGGUUGAUGCAGCAUAAACCGACGUCCUCUUCCUUUUCUGAUUAGUAUUAGUAUUUUCCUUUUUCUUUUGUUGGCUUUCUUUUAUUUUUAGAUCAUACAUAUAUCCUUUUUUCUUGUUCAAAAAGGAAUAUGUGAUUCAUAUAUAAAUAGGCAUCGCUAGCUUGUAUGACGACACGAUUGAUUUUAUAAGAUAUUAAGUUUCUUUAAGAGCUUUAAACAAGCACUGCGAAGAGUAUUCGCGCCCACUAAGAGCUUUAACAAGCACUGCGAAGAGUAUUCACAUCCCUUUCAUUGUUAUCGAAGUUACCUUCGUUAACAAGUUACCGAAGUCGAGAUCAAACCCUAGAUCUUCGACUUAUACGGCUUCCGCCCUCUAUCAGUUGGUAUCAGAUUCAGUACGUUUCGGGAAAAAGAACUUCUUGUUUUAAUGACUAGGAAAACAGGAGGCGCUGGUGGUGACAUUCAGGACCAAAACCC